rnacentral:lncRNA from 1 species
GAAUUUCUAUAUUAGUUCGGAUUCAAUGUGAACCCUGGUCCAGUCUCCUUGGGUUGCAAAGGAGUUCUCUUUAGUAAAUGCAUUUCUUCGAGUAAAAUAGAAUUGACGUGAUAGCUUAGUUCAUAUAACACUCGUCUCUUUUGAUACAAUGCCUCACCAGUGUUAUAUUCUCCUCUUUCUCUGAUUUGUUACACAACAGGCCUCAGAUAACUAUAAUGUUUGUUUGCAGUAGAAUAAAGAGAGGAUUUUUUGUUCGAUCAAAUUAUGUGUCUAAGGUUGAUACUGAGUAGAAAUACUUUGGUGAAGUCUGUUUGCUGAUGAGACUUGACAACCCAAGAUAUUUGAUCCUUGGAAAGAGAUUGAUUCUUUCAAAGAAUAAGAUUGCUUGUCGUUGCUCUUCCUUGAUGGGAGGAAAUUAACAGCUUUCCUUCUUUUCGAAUUUAUCACCUUCUUUAAGCAUCCAAAUUUGCUGACUGAUUCGUAAUCUUUUCUGAUUGAUUCCCUCCCUUAAGCAUCUAGAUUGACUCGUGCAUUCUUGUUCUUUCUUAAGUAGCUCCUUGAUUCCUUAUUCUUCUGUAAUUGAUUUCCUGCACAUAUAUAUUAUUUGUAUCAUUAAAAUUAUAUCUAACAAUCUCCCCCUUUUUGAUGAUGACAAAAUAAUAUAUAUGUCUAAAACACCCGUUGACUUCCCUGUGUUUUACUCCCCCUCAAUGUAUGCAAUUUGAUAGGUUCAUGGUACACCCUCGCUGUUCAUGCAGUUGACUAUUCCUUGGUUAGAGUCGACUCUUGCCAUAGAGGAUGCCAUUGUUGCCACACAGUCGACUAUACCUGUACAGAUACAACAUGACUAUACCUGGACACCUAUACAGAUACAACAUACACGACUAUACCAAUACGCCUAUACAGAUACAACAUAUACUCUUCUAUACAACAUAUACUUGUCUCCCCCUUUUUGGCAUCAGUAAAGAGGAAACAAACCAAAAACUAAACAGAAUACACCGCAAUUAUACAGUAGGGUUAUAAUCCAAAAAAAAACAAAAAUUAUAGAGUGGCUGAGAUAACAUCCCAAAAAUAGCACAACAGAAAAAAUUGUCUUAAGCAACCACAUUAAUGACACAAAAAAUAAGUAAGAGUGUUGCAGAUGGCCUCCUUCAAUUGUUCAAAUAUAGCAUUGGCUAAGAUGCUCACUCCAUCCAAACUGUCAUGAAUCUUCCUGAAAGCUUUGACAGCAUUCUCCCUAACUCUAAGAACAACAACUCUAAUCUUUGACACAUCAGACCCUGUUUCCUUGAAGAUAGCAUGAAUGUCACCAAUAGUAGACUGAGUGGUUGUGAGGAUAUUUUUGAUUUCAGAGAGUUGAGUGCCAAUAGCACGAAGCUUCUCACCAAGGCCAGAAUCUCCAGGGCUGAGAUGAGAGACAGUUGGUUUAGGUUUGGGCUCUAUAGGCUCAUUCUUUGCUUCGACUUCGUGCUUCUUUACCCAGGAGCCCUUCACACUCACAUAUCCUAUGUUUGCAAAGGAUCUAGAGUUAUAAGACUUGGAAAUAGUGAUGAAGGGAUAAUUGGAUAUGGAAAUUUGAUGAGCUUCCAGAAUAUCAGUGAUGGCCAUGCCAUAGGGUAGCCCGGUGGGAUCUUCAGCACUCUUAAUCAUGAAAUUAAUGACCCAGGAGGAUAACUUGAUUUUGAGUUUGGUCACAAGGCAGUAUACUAAGAAAGUGUCUCUUUGAGAGAAGGUGGAAAAGGAACCAGUCAGAGAAGCAGAAUAGUUGUUACAAUGUGGCCCAGAACUCGAGUUUCAAAGCUAAAAUCACUGGGAACUAACUAGUUGGGAAGGGAAUCAGAGAGACGCUUAACAAUAUACUGUUUGGCUUGGUCAAAAGAAAUUUCAAAUCAUCGAGCCAUGUGUUUUUAAAAAGCAUAGGAAAAUCAAAACAUUGACACUGAAAGAGCGAAUCAAACAGGGCACAAUCAAGAACAAUGCGCUUACCUAACACUAAGGAUUACAACUUGUCAGGUUUACUAAAACAAAGAUUGGCAUAAAAUAUCUUUACCAGGGUCUCAUAUACUUUAGGCAGAGGAAUAGGGAGGAACUUAGCCCACCCUUGAUGAACAAAAAGGUUUUUGACCUUACAAUUUAGGGCUUCCAUGUUGUCAAGGUUGAUUACCCUCCCAUGAGAAAUAGGCUUGUCAUUCAGAGCAACGAAGAAAUCCCUAUUUGGAGACUCCCAAAAAUUUAGGUCGGAUUAUAGAGACACAGAAAAAUAAAUCUUCUAUUUCUUUGGGGUAGAGGAAACCGAGAGGGGGAGGGGGGGGGGNNNNNNNNNNNNNNNNNNNNNNNNNNNNNNNNNNNNNNNNNNNNNNNNNNNNNNNNNNNNNNNNNNNNNNNNNNNNNNNNNNNNNNNNNNNNNNNNNNNNNNNNNNNNNNNNNNNNNNNNNNNNNNNNNNNNNNNNNNNNNNNNNNNNNNNNNNNNNNNNNNNNNNNNNNNNNNNNNNNNNNNNNNNNNNNNNNNNNNNNNNNNNNNNNNGGGAGGGGGGGGGGUUCUUCCAUAGGUCGUCUUCCUAGAGCUUUGUCUCCUAAGUUUUGAGAGUUAUCAGAGAAAUCUCCCUGUGAAGUGGCGAAACCCUCAAAGUGGUUGGACCUUAGGUCUACUUGUUCUGGGAAAAUGGGAGGGGAUUUUUCUUUGGAGCGAGUUCUUUUUCUGGUGGAAGUAGAGGGAUUUCUGAGUUGUCAGUCCACUGAAGUAAAGUGGUUUGAUUAGAGCUUUGGAGAAUGAUUUUCUAAAGGAAAGAGAUGAAAGUUACUGAAAAGGGUUCUUCAACUUAAGAGAGAGCCUUCUGAUAGUUGCGUACCGAAAAGGAAAUGGGGUCAGUUGAAGGGACAUAAUGAUUGUCUUUCCAACAUUAAACGAAUAACUGAUGUAAAAGAAGAUAAAAAGAGAGGGCAAAAACUGAGGCGUGAUUAAUGCAUGAGUAAAGGACAAUCAUUACAUCUGUAGUACACAGUAAUUUUCUUAAAACACAAAAUUGUCCUCUAAUAAUGGCUUAGUAAAAAUAUCUACUAAAUGAUCAGUAGUUCGAACAAAAGAUAUUUCAAUGUCUUCCUUAAGAACAUGAUCUCUAAUAAAGUGAUGCUUGAUAUCUAUAUGUUUGCUUUAGUAUGAUGCACAUAAUUCUGAAAGACAAAUAGCACUUGAAUUAUCACAAAAAUUUAUAUAGGUUUAAAAGAGAAUUCGAGUUACCCAGUUAUCAUACCUCCGUUUUGCCACACCGCCGCGAAGGGUAGUGUAUGAGGGAGUUUUUUCAACUUAACUGACAUUAUUCACAAUGUGAUUAUUUUUUUCAAGUCGCCACUUGGGAUAGGUUUGUUCUCUGGUGUCCCAAUCACCGGUUUAUUUUAAAUCCCAAACUGAGGAAAAUUCAACUUUCCUUGUGAAGUCUGCGAACCAGAAAUUCUGAAUAAGGAAUUUUGUUAACCCGAGGGAAGGUGUUAGGCACCCCCAGGUUCUGUGGUUCUAGCACGGUCGCUUAAACAAUCAUAAUUGACUUGUUAUCUUAUUUUAAUACAUGUUUUAGCCUAUGGUAUAAUUUUAAAUUAUUAACCGCUUUUAAUUAGUUUAAGGAAGGUUUCAACAUUAUCUAAAAUGCGUCUUUGGAUCACGUCACAUGAAAUGCACCCGUAGUUCGAGACACAUUUUAUUUAACGUUGUGAGAUUUGGAUUUGGGUCACAUGAAAUGUGCAUCCGAAUUUAGGAAGGUAAAUUAUUAAAGUAACGCGCCUAAAGUAACUACACAUUGUUAACUUUGCGAGGGCCAUGGAAAAAUUUACUAAAUGGCAUGCCUCGAUUUCUAAGGAUACACAAGAUUAAUUAAAUGAGGGCCAUGCAAUUUAAGAUUUUAUUUGGCAUGGCGCACCUCAAAUUAUUCUAACCAAAGGGUUGCUAUAUUAUAAAGUGAAGGCCAUACUUUAUGCAAUUGGUUAUUAUGGCACACCUCCAAGCUAAGGAAACGCUGAAAUAAUUAAUUGACUACUAAAAUGGUAAUUACCCUAAUAUUAAAGUCCAACCUAAUUAAGCACAAAUGCACAAUCCACUUCAGAACUUCGGCCUGAAAAUGAUACCCAAUGCCAAGAUUGCAAAGCUAACCAAUUGCUAACUGCACAAAUACGUGAAUUGGGCCAGAGAAAUCUGGCCUGAGGCCUACCCAUUGAAACGAGGUUGAGACCCAUGAUCGAACCCCUUUGACGGCAUAACACAUGCAUCGAAUUGGGAAUUAAAACUGAUUCAAAAUGUUUUUGUUUUUUUUUUCAAACCAGAUAGAUGAGAGGUAAGCAACCCCACUUCCAACCGAGAGGUUGUGAGUUCGAGUCUCCCCAAGAGCAAGGUGGGAAGUUCUGGGAGAGAAGGAUGCCGGGGGUCUAUUUGGAAACAGCCUCUCUACCCCAGGGUAAGGGUAAGGUCUGCGUAUACACUACCCUCCUCAGACCCCACUAAGUGGAAUUGUACUGAUUGUUGUUGUUGUUGUUGUUUAGAUAGAUGAGAGGUACAUCUAUUGAUUGUUCUGAUUAUACCAACUACAGGCUACACCAUUUUUAUCUAAAAGUCCAAACUAGCUUAAACACCAUGACAAGUAAAUAUGAAGUGUAUUCAAGACUCAUAGACCCUAUAUGAUUUGACAAUGUACCACCAUAGCCACAAAUACCAAUUUUUAUGACUGAAACUUUCAAACACAACUUGUAAGAUAAUGGACUCAAGAAAGAGUAUUGCCAAAAUUCGAUUGAUUUUAAGAUCCUUAAAUAAUCAGUUGCCCCUUGCACACAUGCCAGUAAUAAAUUGCCUAAAACUCAAAGGUAAGGAGAAGAAUCUAAAGGCUGACUAAACAGAUUAAGACUCAAAUAUUCACAAAAGUUCCAGACCAAAUACACUGACAAGAAUGUUCAAUUAUACAACACCAAAGUCUAUUACUCAUUCAAUUAGACAAGGUGUUAUCCAAGUUUUCAUGAUUGUCUAACUUAUCUAAACCAAACGAGCCAAUUCUUAAUUCAUCCAUUAACACAAAACAAACUCAAAAACAAAAAUAAAGACGAGCACACAAAGCAAAAUUUAACGCUGAUUACAGAAUCUGAUAGCAAAACCAUAAGUAAACAACAUGUACUAAGCUAAUAUGAUCCAGAUUUCAACUACAACGCACAUGAUGAUAAAUACAUCAAUAAAAAUCCAGAUAUUGUAUGCUAAUCAUAAAAUUGAAAGGAGAAAAGACGAAGUUCAAUAAAAAACAGAACCAUAUUUCAUCUUAUUUUCAAAUCCAUGCUUUGGAUUACACAUUAAAUGACAUCCAUAGGGCUGAAGAAUACCUGAAAAUGAAAAAGGGAAAUAAAAGAAGUGAAGGAUUAACAAUCUAUAGUAUCAAAACUCAGCUUUGAUCUCAACAACCAAGCUUCCACAAACCCAAAACUCAAACCAUUUUCGCCCAAAUUUAACCAGAAAUUGUUUCAGAAUUGGAGAACUUCUGAAAUCACAAAAAGAAAUCAAGGGAACAGUGUUUUACUAAAAUUUUUAGUCGUUUUGCAGUUUUUCUGAUGUUUCUUCUCAAUGUCUGAUUCUAGCUUCCCUUAGCAAUGCCUUUAUAAGCAAGCUAUUAGGGCAACC